AAAGCACUAUCCCUUAUUUUCUGAGAAAAAAUAUUUCAAAAACAAGAUAUAAUUAAUGGUUGUACAUGACAUAAUAAAAUCUUAACUAGGAAUGAUAACGGGUAAGGCACCCCCUAAAAUUUUCUUACCCAAAUUCAAAUCGGUUUAAUUUUAUCAAUAAUUAAACCUAUCCUGAAUUCAACUAAAAUUUAUCAUUGAACUUGUCCCAAACCCUUCUAUUAAUACCCAAAA
rnacentral:misc_RNA from 1 species